CUCCGGGCCCAGAUUCCCCUGCGGCCGACUCCGGAGGGGGAAAGCCUGUCCUUGCCAGCGAUCAGACCUUCCGACCCCACCAGGGUCAGAGCUGCCUGGGCCUGAGGGGGCCCUGCCCUGAGGAGGACGCCGAGGCUUUGAGCAGGCCCCCGACAGCUGCUCGCGGGAGCCGCCUCCCGACACCCGAGCCCCGCCGGCGCCUCGCGCUCCCGGCUCUUGGCUCCCUCCGCCUCCCCCUCCCCGC
ensembl:lncRNA